GGGUCAGUAGGUUGGUCGUGCCACCGGUACGUACUGGUCUCACUGAUUCCUCCUUCCUGAAGAACCGUAAUGCCAUUAAUUUGGUGUUGCGGGGAAACAGGACUGUUACUUUGAAAAAAUUAGAGUGUUUAAAGCAAGCUAACGCUUGAAUACAUUAGCAUGUAAUAAUGAAAUAGGACGAUCGAUCCUAUUUUGUUGGUUUCUAGGAUUGACGUA
rnacentral:rRNA from 1 species